UUACAUGAAUUUCUGCAUAUGCAUAGCUGGUUUUGGAUUGAUAAAGAAUUUCAGACAUACUUGGGCGGCAAUCAUAUACUGAUAGAGCCAGGAUAAUUAUUGAUGAAGAAUAGUAGAGGUGAAUACACAUGGUUGGUGGGUUAUGGAUCCAUAAAGAAGUUUAGACAUGAUUGUGAGGCAGGCAUGUACUGAAAGAGCCAGGGCGUUUAUUGAUGAAAAAUACUAGAGGUGACUGCAUAUGCUUGGUUGGUUAUGGAUCCAUAUAGAAGUUUAGACAUGACUGUAGUGAUAGAGCCAGGGCGUUUAUUGAUGAAGAAUGAUAGAGGUAUGACACUAAACUUACAGACAUUAAGAAAGGUAUAACU